UACAGAGGGUGCGAGCGUUGUUCGGAAUUACUGGGCGUAAAGCGCGCGCAGGCGGCCUUUUAAGUCUGACGGUGAAAUGCCGGGGCUCAACCCCGUGCCCGCCGCGGAUACUGGGAGGCUGGAGACAUGUAGAGGCAAGCGGGAAUUCCGGGUGUAGCGGUGGAAUGCGUAGAUAUCAGGAGGAACACCGGUGGCGAAGGCGGGUCUCUGGGCCGAUACUGACGCUGAGGAGCGAAAGCGUGGGGAGCGAACAGG
rnacentral:rRNA from 1 species